AUUGCUUUUUGGCUCCCUGGAGCUAAAAUCAAAGCAUAGUGGCUGUUCUUCUCAUUAUAAUCUGUGAUAUGUCUUUGAUGUGAGCACUGUGUAUUAGCUUCAUUUUUAAAAGAAAAGGCUUAGUGAGAACAGGAGCUUGCUUUAUCUACUUCAUGCAUGGAUCUGGUAUUGUAGUGUCUCCAGGAACAGUGUAUCUUCU